rnacentral:rRNA from 1 species
CUUGGUCCAUUAGAGGAAGUAAAAGUCGUAACAAGGUUUCCGUAGGUGAACCUGCGGAAGGAUCAUUACCAAUUCAACGGUGUGGUCGCGGCCUCCGGGGGCUCCCCCCGGGCGGUAGAGGUAACACUCUUACGCGCCACAUGUCUGAAUCCUUUUUUUACGAGCACCUUUCGUUCUCCUUCGGUGGGGCAACCUGCCGUUGGAACUUAUCAAAACCUUUUUUUGCAUCUAGCAUUACCUGUUCAGAUACAAACAAUCGUUACAACUUUCAACAAUGGAUCUCUUGGCUCUGGCAUCGAUGAAGAACGCAGCGAAAUGCGAUAAGUAGUGUGAAUUGCAGAAUUCAGUGAAUCAUCGAAUCUUUGAACGCACAUUGCGCCCCUUGGUAUUCCAUGGGGCAUGCCUGUUCGAGCGUCAUCUACACCCUCAAGCUCUGCUUGGUGUUGGGCGUCUGUCCCGCCUCUGCGCGUGGACUCGCCCCAAAUUCAUUGGCAGCGGUCUUUGCCUCCUCUCGCGCAGCACAUUGCGCUUCAGAGGGGUGUGGGCCGCGUCCACGAAGCAACAUUAUCGUCUUUGACCUCGGAUCAGGUAGGGAUACCCGCUGAACUUAAGCAUAUCAA